GGGUGUGACUUAAAUGCGGACGGCGGGUUGAUUUCAAGAAAAGAGAGGGACUUUUGUGUAAAAUACAAAAAUAACAAUUCAUUUUAACUCAAAACAGGACUGCGGGUUGAAUUCUCUGAAAUAGAGGGACUUUUCUGAAAGAUGGCAUGACGGACGAAUGAAACCCAAUUUGCUUUAUUAUUAGGUAAAGAAGAGAUUGUUUUGUGAUCAUUGGAGUAUGGGAAUAGCGUCGUGUGCAGUUGUGCCCUCGUGAGCAAUCUCUGGUGCUACUGAUGUUUACUAGCAAUAACAGUGUACUUUGAGGUAUGAGAAAGUAAAUUUGCUUCAACAACCAAUUCCAGUGUAACAUUUUUUUGUUUUAUGGGCUUUCUCUUGCAAUCUGCACAGAAUGUUGUAUGCCGAUGCCCUGUUUGCUGGUUUUCCUUUCAAUUGGUCUUCUCAAGGAAACUGUUCAAUUGGCAUGUCCUGCUUUGGACUAAUCUUUCUUGGGAUCCAUAUAUGUUCUUAUCUGACUGGUUAGAAUAGUGCAAAUUGGGACGGCUUGCUUUCUGUGACCAACUACUUGAAUGCUGAAAUGUCAUACGGUACAUACAUCUUGUAAACAACAUGUAUCUCUUUUUAUUUCACAUGUGCAGAGAGAACUUGCCACACGAUCUUGUCCCCUCGGCAAUAAUAUGGUAUUUAGAAAUUAUCUUUCUAUCUUUACCCACUGGCAUUUUUUAGACUAAUAAUGUUAGUAUAGAUUUUAGUUCGAGACUGCAGCGUUUCUUCGGAACCUGAUUGACACCAAAGCUCUCAAGAAAAGCGCUUGUGUGUUUCAAACUCAAAACAAGACAAUGAACAUAGAAUUAGAGCUUCAUCUUUUAUUUGACAAUAUUAUGUUAGUACAUAUUUUUCUUGUUCUAUUCAAUAUUUUGUAUUUUUGGGCAGCAAUACAAGAACUGGGUGACAAUGUAUUACUUAUUACACUUGGAUUCAAGCCACACCAAAGGACUAAUUUUAGAUCAGCAAAGAAGAACGGGCCAAAGAAAUGCUGAUAUUAAGCUAGGUUUGCAAGGCGAUAUGUCGAGCUCUCUGCACUCUGGUUUCAAUGGCUUAUUUAAACAGGUGCCUCCUUUUCCUUUUUAUGUGUUUUCGAGUCUCUUUUGUGUAAACAUAGUCUGUACUCUGUAGAUGUCCUGCGGUGUGAUUUUGUUUUUGAGUUGAGCUAGAUGCUACCAUAGAAUUCAGGUUAGGGUGAUCAAGAAGCAGUUUCAUAUGUUAGCAAAACUAUUGAAGGAUUUGCAGGUGACCAACUAUUAUAUGAGUCUGGAUGACUGAAUAUCAGCAGUACAUCAAAAUCUACGGCUUUAUAUACUUUGUCACAUACUGUCAUAUUCAUAUGUGAUAACCAUAUCGACCGAGUGUUGUUUCUUUUUCAUUCAGAGUGUACACUACUUCCAGUGUAACAAGAAUGGAAAAUAAAAUACUCUCUAAAUAAUGUUAUCUUGUAUCUGACUUCCAGUGCCUCUCUGAUGCCUCAUACACACGCAUGCUCGUCUUUUAUCCAUUGUUGUCGUAAAUCAUUUGUUGUUUAGGCUAUUUGAUGGAUUUAAGGUAUUGGCCAGCAUUUCCCCUUUACACAAGCACGCUCUUUAUUUUUCUAUAUCUAGAUUGUCCAGAAGGACAAAAUGAUUGGCUAAUACGAACAUAAGUUUGUCCUAACUUGGUGGCUACAUGAGCUCUCAGUAUUCACAGUUGAUGUUAUUCCUGGUGUUUUUCAAUGAUGUGUUGCUUCAAAUUUUGUUCGGUUAAUCCCCAAAUUAAUGUGACCAAUAGUAUACCUCGGACCACCGUUUUUGAUUCUAGAGUUUAUUGUCGUCAACCACUUUUUCUUUAUUCUUCUAGCCUUCCUUCCAUUUUUGUGUAAUCCACCAACAUAGAGUCACUCUGCACCAGGCAGAUGAUAGUGAUAGCUGAAGAGGAUACACCAAGAAAAGCAACCUCACUGAAUUAAGCACCAUAAUUUCCUGUUAGACACUUUGUUGUAAAAGAUUUUGUACACCACAAAGAUAACUUACAUUUGGAUGCAUGUUUCUGGUGUAGCUGGUGCUAAAUGUAACAUAAAAGGUGACUUGAUUGUGAACUUUGUUCAAACAUGCAUGGUUGUUGUAUCCCCAUAAGACAAUAUAAAAGCUUUUGCCAUGUUAUUUAAUUUUGCACUGCCAUACAUUGAAUAAUCUUCAAAAUGCACACACAAGUCUUUUCAUAGUGAAAUUGUACCUGGGAUGAUACUUUCUUUACCUACACUUCUGUAUCUCUAAUAUUUCCAAAUAUCACGCUGCAAGGAAGACCUUUUUUUCUCUUCUCUAAAUUGGGUGAAUAAACAAGAGCAUCAUAGUAUGUAGUUAAAUUAUACAUAGGUAAUGGUAAUCGUUUAUUGACAAAGUAUUUGUUUUCUUCUAUCAUCUAUGAGCUCAUUAUUGACUUUUUAAAUGCUGACAUAUUUUGUAGAGUUUGAUACUUUUGUUGUUAUGUAGCCUCACACGGUUGAUCCCUUGCUUUAAGAUUUCUUAGCAAGAGAUGCAUAUCCUGUUUAUUUUCAAUAGUUAGUGAGGAAAAACGAACAAGUGAAUUUAGGCAUAUCCUGCUAUUUUUUAUUAUGUUUGCAGAACAACUAAACUGUAGUUAAGUACCAGGCAGUACUAGCAUAUAAGUGACUUACUAAUUGAAGACCAUGGUGUGAAAGGUAUUAUGAAUUGCGAAUUACAAGUAUGAGUAAGCUCUUUUCAAUACAUUGUCAUUCCACGGAUUUGUACUCACUUUAUAAUUCAGCACAGUUGGACUAUCAAUGUCCAAAAUGCAUUUACUUCUAUCUAUCAUCACAUUCUGUACACUCAACUUAGAUGCCACUUGAAAGUUACAUGCUUAUAAUUAUGAGCCAUCCAAUCUGAAUGAAUCACAGGAAAUGGAGCAUUUUAUUGAGUCAUUGGGAGAAUUUUACAUGCCAUCGUCAGUAAAAGAGGGAAUGAUCUACAUUAGAGGAUACUAAAGAGUGUAAAUUGCAGUUCAGUUUUCCUCUCCAAACAGAUCUCUUCCUUGGGAUAAAUUUAUGAUGUCUCCUGAAUCAUGUUGUACUAAGAAGCAUCACAAUGGAAUUUUCUUGUCCAAUAACUUAAUACAUUUGAGACGCGCAUAUUUCGGAAGAAAUUGCUUGGAAAAAUGCAAAUUAUGCACAACUUGUGGUGUAUGUUUGGGAUGCAUAUGAACUGAAUCAACGUUUUGGAA